UACGCCUGAGUGUUAGCCCCGGCUCUAUCCAAACUCUGAGCCUAAGCCAACCUUAACCAGUUGGGGCCUGAACAGCGGCUGGGGCUGUGCUUCAGCUGCCCAAACCAGCCCUGUGGAGCUCCCAGGCUACCAGCCAGAUUGCCAGCCCCAAAACACCCCGUGCAGCCUCUUGCAGCCCUCCCUGGCCUGGGCUCUGUUCUGCCUGUACAGAGCUACUGGCACCGCUGAAGCAUGCAACCCCAUCAAGUCCUGCACGCACAUCUCCAGCUUGCACAGGAUAAGAAAUCCAGCUGCUAGGAGACUGGGAAAGGGUAAACUGAUCCCACGUUUCCCCUUUUUUGUGCUUGUACCUAGGCCAUGCUAUCCACAUGCAUUUCUGUCUUUGGACUGUUUGAGGGGUAAAACUCCCUGCUAGGUUAAGAUACUGCUGCUAGCAGUAGGAAAGGGAGCAGACUGGCCAGCCACAUAUGCUGGAUUAUGUUCCUGGGCUGAACUCCAGAGCCUUCAGUUUUAUUAUCUAAUUACCCAACCAAACUCAUUCAUCUUUAUUUUUCAGUCUUACCCAGAGACCCAUGUUUAAACACGGCUCUGCUAUGUGAAGCGCUGCCCAGACACUCUCCACUUGGAAGCACUCACAGUUUCUCAGCUCAGACUGUUUUCUUAGUGUAAAGGAUGCAUGGCAGAAAUCCCAGCCCUGGUCAGCUGCAGUGGUCUACACUGGGCAGUGCUGAGGGACCAAUGUGGCUGCAUUAUUGCAGGGAACUGUACCAUGGGAGCAAGGGAAAUGAAAUAAACUCUCAUUUUAUAUCAUGACAGCAUAGCUAGACGUAGUCUUCAUCAUCAGUGUAACAAAGGAUUGUUAGAUUGCAUACAGGAUCACUCACUAUGUGGUGUGACUCAGAGUGCUUUGUGGUAUGACACGCCGUGAUAUAUGGUUUUAUGACCAAGAACAAAUGCCGACAGCCGGGGGAAAAAUCCAACAAGUCAAUGAUAAGGCAGGAACAUAUCCCUGGAACCCAUGAGGGCACCAACACCGGUGUUCCCCUCCUUUUGCUCUUCAGGUCAAAGCAGGAGCUUGGCCCUGUCCCCAUCCUUGUGACCGUGGUGCUGUGUGGCUGGACACCGCUCCCGGCCAUGGCUUACUGAGCACCAGACCGCCGGCCCGAGGCCUUCCCACCACAUCUUAGUGCCGCGUGUGACUCACACACCAGGUAGGGACAGAGGCUCCCGAUUAGCUUAACCCUGCCCCUGGGAGGGGCCUACCUUAUAAAUACGCUGCUUUGACUAUGCUCCUCGUCCUCGUUUCCUAGGGGAAUGCGGGUAGUGGUAGGUUCGGGUAGCAUCCGGAGCAGGUCAAUGGCUACAAAGGGCUCAAGCAGAAAACUUUCCUCCGGAUCCAGCAGCAGUCCUAUUUGCUCUCCAGCUUGCACGGGCUGUGUUGGGAAAAGGCAGAGAGAGAUGGCAGAGGCUGCAGAGCACGAGGCCGCCGUCUCACCAGCUUGCUGUUGUUUUUGAGAGAGGAGACGCGGAGAGCGGCCCUCGUACGGCCCUCGUACAGCCCUUCCUCCUCAGGGGCCCUUUGCAGAAGGAGCCCUCCUGUGCCGCUCCCCAGCACGCACCCUGCUGGAGCUGGGGCUCGGUCCCGUAGGAGCCGGGCCGGGAGCGCGGCCGCUGGCGGAGCGCGGCGUGGGAGGUGUCGGGUGCUGUGCCGCGUGAGGAGCCUGAAAGCAGGAGCUGUCAGCGGGACAACGGAGUUGUUUGGCAAGACAGGUGGCUGUGGGGUCUCCUUGGUCAGCAGGAUUGGAAAAGAGCCAUCAUCUGCUUCCUUGAUGUCUGCCAGCCCACGUGAUUGACAGAAAGCAGCACAGUUUGGAGCAACGUCCCUGGGAGGGGGAGGAACAGAUGUUUGAACCAGAAGCGUAUGUGACAGUUGGGAGAGACAGCAUGGAAACGCACCAUUGAAAGGAGAAGUCUGACGGGAGUGUGAUGACAGCAGCGGGACUCCAGUGACAGGGAGUGGGAAGGAGAACAAGCAGAGAGGAGUGUUACUUCGAAAGCCAAGCAAAGUGCACAAGAGGAUGUGUCAGGAAAGCAUCAGGGAAAGGAAGAGAGGAAUUGUGAGAGUAGAGGCGGGCUUUGGGAUCUGUCUGAAGCAUGUGUGACCUGCUGCCUGACAAUUGGAGAAGGGAAAGCCUCUUCUUCCACCAAGUCAACUCUCCAGGCAGCCAGGCUGGCCAGUUCAGCUGGAGCCCUCAGCAUCCCAUUAGCCUGUGGGAGGAAAGCUGUGUGCACCAGGGCCCUGGGGUAAAACAUGCAGGGGCUGGGGGCUGCCCAGGCCCUUCUUCAGCCUGAGGUCUUUGUGAAGAGCACAGCACCCACGUGCCUUGGGACUGUGAGGUGCUAGAAACAGAGGGAGCACUGCUAUCCUCACAGCAGGCUUCCCCUGAACACACAGUGAUUGUAAAGACAGGAUGCAUGAGGAGAGGAAGAACAGCAAGCGCGUGCUCCUGCAGCAGGGAGGGGCUCUCCAGCAGCGCUGUUCCGUGGUGAUAUAAAUCACCUCUCUGCAGUGUCCAGUUUUACCUUAGUUCAGCAGAUGUGCAAGGCACCCUGGGAGCGUGCGCCAGAGUGGCAAACCAUCAGUACAGGGGCUGUGAGCAGGGGGAGGGGGCUGCAACUUCUCCCACGGAUGGAUCUAUGAGUGCAGUUCUGCAGAGCCCUUCCUGCACAGGAUUCACCUUUGAUCCUCCCACAUGGUGCGGCUCGAGUGAUGCAAGCUGGCCAAUUCUGCUUUGCCCCUUCCUGUAGGGAGGGGGGAUUUCUCUAAGUAGGGGAUGAGUCUCAAAAUGCAUUAGCAGAGUGAUUGUUAGAUAGCCCACAGCCACAGGGCUGGCUGUGCCAAGGGCUGGUACGUGUCUCUGAAUGGCGCGUGGCUGGUGGCUCUCUCCCCCUUGACACAAACUCAUGUCCUGCAGUGCAAUCCUAGCAAAUGAGGGGACAGCCUGGCAGUAUGGCCUGCACGGGCGUGCGAGGGAACAGUCUGUACAGGCUGGCAGCACUAAUGUUUCCCAGGGUUGCACCAGUACCUUUCUCCUUCUCCUCAGCACCCUUCAGACUGCGCUGCUUAUGAGGCUGGGACCUCCCAGGAGCAGUGGGACCAGUGGGUAGAGGGGCUGUGCGGGUUGAGGUGUUAGUUGGGCUAUUUGUUACGAGGGGAAGAAUGAGGGGAAAGCAGGGGGAGUCUGUCUUCCUUGCUGGGGUGAGUACUCCUGGUGGGGAUGGUUCAUCCCAUACGUGCUGUUGCAUUCAGGUGUUUGCUCAUUGUGCCAGCUCCCAUGCAAGACCUGGAGCAGGACCAGGGGUUCUGCAGGCAUCCCGCUGCUCUGAAGCUGCCCCAGUCACUAAGCCGGGCCUUGCUGGCCCAUGUGCCAUUGCGCGACAGCACAGGGUGUCUCAGGGGAGACAACCAUCUUCAUUGAUGGCAGCAAGCAAGUUCCCUUGGGCUGGUCCUGCCGUCUGCUCACCUGCUGCUGAGCGUCCCUGCAGGUGGGGAGCUGUGCCCAGGGCUCCCUGCAGGCAGGUGGGAGGCACCCACUGGUGGUGGUGGUCCAGUGCUCUCAGUGAAGGUGCCACUGGAGGAACAGCUUGAUGGAGGUAUGUUCACGGCUUGGCAAAAGGGUGUUUAUGCGAAAAACUGAAGGGUAGACUCAUAGAAUGGCUUGGGAUAAAAGGGGUCAUAAAGAUCACCCAGUUCCAGCCGCUGCCGUGGAUCCACUGUCUUCCUCCUCCUUCAUUCAGAGCAGAUGUCGCAGGCUCAUGGCAAGGAAGGGUUCAGGCCAUGUAGGUGAUGUAAAGGCAAUGCAGGCUUCCCCUCUAUCCAGUGUGGUGUCGGUGAGGAAAGGCACAGAGAAGGAGGCACUGCCAGCAUUUUCACCCAGGAGGGACAAACUUUGUAGCUGAAUAGGGCUGAAUAACACCCAGACAUCUUGUUCUGUAUAGCAGAAUUGCACCUUUCUUCCUAUUAACUUGCACCGGUCUUGGCUUUGACUUCAGUAGGAGUCAGGGUCAGACCCAGGGUAUAUUAUCUAAAGUUACUCACGCAGCUGCUGAAAUUAAAAUCUCAUGAGCAAGGGUCUGUCUCCACUGCAGUCUCAAAGCAGAAUAAUAGUGUGGCCUUUAGUCUCUGGAGAUAGUUUUAAAACCUUCUCAAGGUCUGUGCUCGUUGUGAAAAAAAUAAUUCAUACAAUACUCGCCACAUCUGACAGAGUUGGCAGCCUUUGUUCAAUACGGUAACAGUGCUGUGCACCGAAUUAAUCAGGGAUUCGACUCCACGCAGCCUUGUGCCUGGGAAGCAGCGCAUUGCCAAGCCCUGAAAAGAUGUGGGGGCAUUGCAGGGAGCACAGGCUGCAGGAGAGCAUGUGUGAUCUCUGUCUCAGCCAUACCAGCCUGGGCUUGCUCAGAAGCUUUCCUUAGGACCACUGGCGUGAGUUGCUCUUGCUGUCGCUGCAGUUGUGCUCACAGAGCAGUAUAUCACCCGGCAUUUUAUGCUUGGCUGGGAAAGGCAGCCUGAAUCCCUUGCUGCACAGCGAGCUGACAGGCUAGGGGCCGACUCACAAUCCUCAGCAUUUCUUAUUUACUACAGACCUCUUAAAUGAAGGCUGUGAGAUUUUCUCAUUUACCAUGUUGCUGUAUGGAACCAAUGACUAUAAAUUUAAAUGGCGAGCUGGUAGGAGCACACUUACCUUUUAUACAAUAAUUGCGAGAGUGCUGCUGCUGAACUGCUGUUAGGAUUAUUCAGACCUGCUCAGGUUUCACUGUAAAACAUUAAGCUGCAAGAGGUACUGUAAGGUGUGAUUAUUCUAAGAGGGUGAGUAGUAGUAGUAAGCACUGCUGGCAGAAUUACUACAGGAGACAGGGAAGGCUUGGUAGCUGGGAGCAGAGGGAGCUGAGGAGUAUAACCUGCCAUUCAGAAGUACUGCCUUUGUGUGAGGUCCUGCCUGAUUCGUCUGGUCUGCACUGCCUUGAUCCUGAAAUUGUCACCAGGCAUCACCCGAACCCUUGCUGAGCGUAGGUGUCAGCUCUGGGCCCAGCACUCCUCUGGGGAGCUGAAAACAUGGAGACAGUAAUGCAGCAAAAGUGUCAUGCCGGUGCUUGAGCCACUGUGGUUAUGCUGGUUUGGGGCAGCUGUGCUCUUCAUUUGGUGGACCUGCUGGCAAAGACCUGCCUGGGUCUGGCCAAGUGGGCAGAGGAGAUCCAUGGGCUCGGAUCAAAGGGACCUCAGCUCUUCCAGCCAGCAGAGACCUCCCCCAGCAAGGCAGCCCAGCUGCGAUGCCCACGCUGCUUCUCCUGAGCAGUGUGGGAGAGCGGGCACAACUGGUUUGUUGGAUGGGCAGUGCCUGGCCUAGGGCUGCCAGCCCAGCACAAGCAGACAAGGGACCUGGGCUGGGCUGGUGGCCCUCAAGCUGGCUGCUGCCUGGGGGCCAGCACUCUGCUUGGAGCGCUGCCUGGUGCUGGGAAGGCUCCGGCUGAGCGUGCUCAGCUGCCCUGCUUCAGGCACUGCCACAUCCCCCCGGGAAGGACAAGGUACUUGCAGCUUCUGGUGGGAGCGAGGGAGAAAAGAGCAGUGCUGAAUGUAUGCUCCUAAGCUGCCUUGAUUUUCACCUGUGAUUGAGAUUUUGAUUUUGCGUCCUGUAUUAUUUUCCUGUUAUAACACACACCUCUUGGCUGUCACUACAACAAUGCCUUUUCUUGGCAGGGAAGGCAAAUCUGAAAGCAAACUCUUGAGCACUCUACUGUGCAAGUUCCUCAGAUGAUGGUUGUGUUUCUCCCCCUCAUUCCACCCGUUUUCAAAUAAUUUUCAUGCUGGGACUAUAUCUGAGCGCAUAACAAUAAUGUUCAACAUAUGAUAACCAGAGACAAUUGUGUAUAUAUACAAGCAGCCACAUGGAAAACAAAUGAGCUGCUGGAAAAGCAGGAAAAAAAAGUGCAAGAUGAACUAGAGAGCACAGGUACCAUUUUCACAGUAAGACCACGUAACUUUGCCAUUUCCAGAUAACUACUCUUCUCUUUGCUUUUCCUUUCUCCAUGAGGAAAAUAGGAUUGUGCAAAAACAUUUUUAGUUACUAAUUUUUUUUUUCUCACCAACUCAUGCAAAACUAUCUCCCGUCAAGCAGUGUGUUACAGGCUAGUUAUACAUACAAAUUCAGCUUUGUGUUGCUUUCCUGAGCUUUAUCUAGGAAAUUCCAUUGAAUUGGGGUCUUGUGUCUGGAGCUCAGGACGGCAGUGUAUGAGGUCUAAACUAUUUGGAUAUUUUUAAAUGCCACAUAUACCGGGAUGCUGCUCUCCUGAAAGUGUGCCGUCUGUAAUGAUACAGGGAAGGAAGUUUGGCAGGUUUUUGAUAUCUUUUUUUUUUUCUUUUAAUCUCUUCAGUAUGUUUGUCUUCCUUUUAUGAUUGAAGCUAUUUUUCUUGGAAAGGCAUCUACUUUUAGUUAGGGAAAAGAACAAAGCUGAGACGUUUUGGAAGAAUUUUAUCAAACGCCUUUAUCUUGAUAAGAGAAGUAAUAAAAAAAAAUUUGUUAAUUGACUUCAGUGAAAUCUUUGAUGCAUAUACAAUAUGCACCCUUGGUCUCAAUAGGAAAUGUCUUUUAAACCUGAAAUGGCUUAGUAAACCUGAAAGAAAGUUGAAAUAGUUGCAAAUGUGGGGAGGAAGCUUACUUUUCUUUAUGAUGGUUCAUAGUGUAUGUACACAUACAUAUCUGUGUCUCUGCAAGGAAUGUGCACGCCCAAACCUUAUCACUUUAAUAAGCAGUUACAGUGAAAGUGUUUCUGUUUGCUCAUUGUAAUGCUCCUACACUCCUAUACAAAACAGGAAUUAAACGUGUUAACAAAGCAGAUGUUCAACAAAUGUAAAGGAAGAACAAUAAUUCAGGAGUAUUUGACAGAAAUGUGAACCCUUUAUUAUUUUUUUUUUCCUUCUAAAUAAGUUGCUCCUUCCCCAUCAGCAAGAAUAUGUGUAUGCACCUGUUGGUAGCAACCAGCUAGAAUAUGACUCCAACAUGCAUUAUGGGAAAUGCACGCUUUUCAGUAAUGCAGAUACCUCCAUGGAAGUCCCAGCUGUGCACUGCAACACUCCCCUCCUCCUCUUCAUUGCUUCACCAUCCUGUUGCCUCUUCUACUUCCCUGUUGUCCCACUGAGUGUUGUACCUCAAUGGGAUGGCAGAAGGGUUUAGCUUCCUCGGCUUUCUUCGUGCUCUAGUGUCUCAGCUCAGACCCGUGCUCAUUGCUGGGCACUGCUUGGGAAUGACCUGGAGCUGUGGUCUUCCACCUGGCCCCAGCCCCUGGGUGCUGCUAGCAGUCUGGCCCGUGCCAGCACACGUCUAUGAAGGCAUUUACUGGGGUAUUCUCAUGGGAUCUGUGGUCCUUGUCAAUCUCCAGGCCUUGAGGUAGCUACUGGAAAGGUAGCUUGGUGCGUCUGCAGGAGGCUGUCAUACCCCACCUUGAUUAUAGUGUAGCUGCGUAUGAAGCGCUGUUACUGAAAAUAUUCCUGCCUUCUUGAUAGGUUAAUUGGUGGCAUUUAGUUAACUGUGUGUAUUAUCUUGUAGCAGAAUUAAAUCUAGAGGUAGGCAACUGAUCAGUUUUUCAACAGAGUCACUCAAGUCUGCUGCCACAGGAGGCCUACCUGAACGCCCCGUGGCUUCCAGUUGUUGGAGCUGCUCUUUUCUGCCUGUUGCUAUGGUGAAAUGAUAGCACCAAACUGAUACCAAAAAGGAAGCAAUGUUUUCUCAACAGAUUUAUGAGGAAAAAAAAAAUAGGGGAUGGAAAGGAUAUGGGGGAGAAAGGGAAGAAAGAAAAAAAGCUUAAGGAACACGGAGGGGUUUCCUAAGCUAGCGCUCGUCUCUCUGUUUACCUGAAGGCCCACCGAGCCCUUUGAAGAGGAUCCAAGAACCAUCCGGUGCAGCACUACCCUGGUGGGUUCAUUUUACAACCUGUUAUGCGUUCCCCUAAACUGUAAAUACUAAUUUUCUUGCGUUUUUUUCCUUGCAUUUUAUGUGGGUAAGUGCAUAUAGGCAGCGUGCUCAUUUUGUAGCUCCACGGCUGGUCUCAGGGAGCAGCGUUGUGCUGGUCACAGGUCAAGAAAAGCGCCGUAGUCUCCUCCUCUGCAGGACCAGUGCUGUCUGUUCUUUCUGACAAUUACAUUUUUAACCUGUCUUGAGGCUCUGCAGUGUGGGCAGUGUAUUUCCCAUGGGCUGCUGUCACCCUGUGGUCUCCUGUUCUGUCACCACAGGCCCUUCAGCCCACAGCUCUGAGGGAGAGAGCUCCUUCCUCCUCCUCUUUGGCCAAGGAGCUCGUGCUGAGCUACACAUCAGGAGUGGGCUAUGGCCAGACUUAAAGCUUUCUUUGGAAGUGUGCUGUGAGGUAGCCUAGCACCAGGAGCCUGCCUCUUGCGGAAUGGCUCCUCAGUUUGGACACUAGUGGUUCCGAUGGAUGAUCUGGUCUCUGUGCCGUGUGCUGGCCCAGUCCUGGUUUGAUGCGUGAGCAGUGGUGGGAUGGCCAAGGAAAGGAGGAUCCUGUGUCCAGGCAUUGCUUGGGGGAGUAGGUGUAGGGAGUAGGGGGCACUGAGAGUUUUGGAAACAGCUAUCUGAUGUUCUGAAACCAGCUCUGAUAGCAACAGCAUCAGAAACUGGGAAUUACAUAUGCAGUGGCAGCUUUCUUGUCCCCGUGCCAGCCCUUCUGAUUGCUUCCAUUAGUGUCUGAACCAAGCCUCGGCCACCUCGUCAUCAGCUUCUUUCCAAUGUGGGGGCAUGUCUCCUUUGUGUCUGAUCCUUCGCUGGGCUGCUGGGGGGCUGUAAUUGCUCUGGGCUCCUGAUGGAGGUCCUUGGUCUGCUGUCACAGUGGGACUGCAAGAACUUGUAUUGCAUUGAAUGUGCUCUUGAUUACUUGCCAAUUAAAGCAGAAGAAAAACACAGUCCUCUUCUUUAGAACUGCACCUCCUCUGAAGGCUGAGGUAAAUGUAUAGAGAGUUUCUAGUUGUCCUGUCUCCAGUUGUCCUGGCUCCUUACUUUUAGUGUUUGGCUUCGGUGGGCUAGGUAGGUGGAUGCUUUUUUUUUUUUUUUUUCCUCCAAUACCUUUAAAUUUCUGUUGUGUUAUGUGAAAGCAGGAACACCCUUAUGAAGCUGGAGGAGUCAGAGUUUGCUCACUGGGGUUCCAGGGUUUUGGGUAAGACCUCUUUAAAAAGAAGAGACACGGAAGCAGGUGGUCUUGUGGUAGCUGAGCAUGAGAUACCUGAGCAAAGCAUGCCAUGGAAGGAAGGAUGCGUUAGGUGAGGGAGCAGAGAGGCACAGGAGUGUAAGGAGGCAGCAUGCAGGGGACAUGCAAUUUCCAGGAAUCUGGCAGCGUGGGAGGUGCUGCGCUGUGGCGGCCAAUCUCCCGGAGCAGGUGUGCAGGGGCAAGGUGCCUGCUGCCACCCCCUGCGCUGCCUGGCAGCUUGUGCUGGGAGAGAGCCAGGUCCGAGGUGUGAAGGGAAGCAAAAAGAGAGGGGAAGAAGGGAGAGAAGAAGGAAGAGAAAGCCAAGAGAAGGAACAAUGUGACAAGAAGCGGGAGGGAGCUCACCUUCAAAGGUAGCCAUGGGUUUCUGUUUAUCUUACCAGUGUUUGUACUGCAAGGAGGUUUUGAACUGCUGCCUAAUAUGACUGUCAGUUAUUCUAACUUGUAUUUCUCACCUCAGUCCCCAUGAAGUGCAUUUGACAAUAAUUAAUUUUGUGUGUGCAACUGGGAACGUCUCCUACUCCUGCAGAGGUGUCAGCUUAAUGGGAUGUGGCCAUGCAGGAUAACAGGCUGUGCCGCCCCAUUAGGGGAUUGGGGGUGGGGGGGGGUCAUCUGUUCAUCUGGACUAAUAUUUUAAUUGUUGGAGCACUAGGUUUCCCAGAGUUGAAGUGGGAUCAGAUUAACCUCUGUCUCUCUGAACUUGCAUGCUGGCAAGCUCCUAAAACACUUGCUAAUUUUAUUUUCUAUUUUCAUCACGUAUUUAAGAUAACU